rnacentral:rRNA from 1 species
UGGGGAAUAUUGCACAAUGGAGGGAACUCUGAUGCAGCGACGCCGCGUGAGUGAUGAAGGACUUCGUUUCGUAAAACUCUGUUCUAUGGGAAGAAAAGGACUGUACCAUAGGAGAAAGCUCCGGCUAAAUACGUGCCAGCAGCCGCGGUAAUACGUAUGGAGCGAGCGUUGUUCGGAAUUAUUGGGCGUAAAGGGUGCGCAGGCGGCUUUACAAGUUGGAUGUGAAAUAUUGUGGCUCAACCACAAACGUGCAUCCAAAACUGCAAAGCUUGAGUUAAGGAGAGGUAAGUGGAAUUCCUGGUGAAGCGGUGGAAUUCGUAGUUAUCAGGAGGAAUACCGGUGGCGAAGGCGACUUACUGGACUUAAACUGACGCUCAGGCACGAAGGCGUGGGGAGCAAACAUG